rnacentral:lncRNA from 1 species
CAUUUUAAAGCAAAGACAAAUAAAGUUUUCAAAUGAUUCAUUCAAACACAUGUGCAUUUAUCCCAAAACAUUUUUAAAUGCAAGUUCACUCACCCUAACGAUGCCAUCUAACAAAAUCUUAAUCCGAGUAGUCUCGAAAUACCAUUAAAACCUAUAAUUGCCAAUAAACAAUAAUAGCUUCAAAUAUAUCAUAAAUUCAAACUUAAUAAUUCUAAUAAGCAUACGCUUGAUAAACUAGAUUCUAGCCUAAUUUUUAACCUAGAAUUCUAGUUUAAUUCUCAAACCCAUCAUAUCAACUAUUCCAAUUUAAAGAUUUUUUACCUUGGUGAGCUUGGAGGCAUAGAGAUCAACAAAAACCUAAUAUUUCCAAGAAAAAGAAUUUGAAGAAGUUAGGAAAUAAAAUCUGAAAAUAUAACCCAUAAAUUCAUAAAUUCCAAGAGUUGAAAAUAUAUACCUUUUAGCCUUAAAAAUGGAGAUUUGAAGUUGAAAAUUCAAGUGUUGGUGAUGGUGGAGUAGAAAUAGAAAAUAAAGGAAAGAAAGAGAGAUUUUUCUUUCUCUCUCACAGGGUUUAGUUGUGCUGAAAAAUGGAGUUAGAAGCUACAGGUUUGGUGUCCAAGAAGUUAGGAGAAGAAAUGAAAAGAAAGGAAGGAAAAGAAAAUGGAAAAAGCUUGAUUUUUAUGGUGGAGGAUGAAAAUGGCGUUGGGAGGAGAAGAAGAAGGAAGAUAA